GCUCUACACUGGCACUGGAGGAAAAAUGACAUUUGCCAUGAAGUCCCUGACCUCAAGCGUAUUACAGUCUGGUCAAGAUGACUAGGUUCGUCUUGCCUUGAAUUGACCUGAUGUCUCCUCCCUCUAAGCUUAUGUCACCAAAAUGUAGGUAGACACAAAUUCAGCGGAUGCCAAAUACCACCACUUCAACUGCAAAACAAUUAUCAUUGGCCAAGAACUUGUGAUGAGAAAAUUCCCUGAGCUAGAUAAUCUUCUUAACACACAUUUAGCACUUCCCAAACAUAGGCUCAGUUAGAAAGUUCCAUCCAAGGAAGAAUGUCUGUCCUACUUUGAAAAGGAAAAUGGGACGACCCUACCAUGGCAAGAACUCCGGGCUCCUUUGGCUAAAAUUAGGGUUUCUCUAAACCAGAGCCCUUGGAUCCCCAGGGAACAGGAAAGCCGUAAUGGUUCUCAGGCUUCUCUUACUUUUCUCCUUUCUCUCUUUCCCUCCCUCCAUUGCUUUCUUCUCUCCUUUUUAAUUUUCCACAUCUUAAUAACUCUUCUUGCAUUUUUCUGUGAGAAAGCAAACUACAAAAUGUUUUGGAGGGUGCUGGAGUUUGAUAACACUGGUCGUCUCAGAGUGAUCUGAAACAUAUGAUGGCUAUUAUUUGUGCCUUUGAAAAGUAAAAGUUGGAAACCCCAGUUGAUAUUUCUUAAUAAAUUUCUUUUGGCAGAUAAAGUAUCUUAAGGGUUAGAGGACGACCUGGAGAGUCUGCUUUAAUUCGUGGUAAAUACUGCCCUCCUGUGGACACAUUGGAUAUUACAACCUGUGAAUGCAGCUCCAAGAGAAAAGUUGCUUGAUAAUUUAUUAACUGUUUUCUGCAAAGAGGCCUCUGUGUUUUCUUUCUUUCUUUUUUUUUGAGGAUUUCUUGGCACCCUGAAAAAUUCUGCUUAUUCUUCUGAACUACUUUCCACAUCCCAGGAGCUACAAAAUGUCUGCAGUUCUCUGGCUGUGUGUGUGUGUGUGUGUGUGUGCGCGUUUCAGUUCAGUUCAGGUCAGUUGCUCAGUUGUGUUCAACUCUUUGCCACCCCAUUGACUGCAGCACGCCAGGACUCCCGGAGCUUGCUCAAACCCAUGUCCAUGGAGUUGGUGAUGCCAUCCAACCAUCUCAUCCUCUGUCGUCCCCUUGUCCUCCUGCCCUCAAUCUUUCCCAGCAUCAGGGUCUUUUCCAGUGAGUCAGCUCUUCGCAUGAGGUGGCCAAAGUACUGGACAGAUGGCGUGUUCAGUAGUGCCCCACUAUUUGUGACCCCGUGCGCUAUAGCUGGCCAGGUUCUUCUAUCCAUGGAAUAAUUCAGGGGAGGAUGGUGGAGUGGGUAGCCAUUUCCUCCUCCAGGGGAUCUUCUAGACACAGGGAUCGAAUCCAUGUCUCUUGUAUGUCCUGCAUUGGUGGGGGAAUUCAUUACCACUGUGCCACCUGGGAAGCCCAAUUCUCUGGAUGAUAAGCCCCCAAUCUAGCUCUUAUAACUAGCUCCUUUCCUCUUGCCUGUGUGUGGCCUGGUGACAAUUUUCUGUUCAGAAAACAUCUGGGUAUCCCGUUAUCCAGGGCUCCCCACAAUUCCAUUCAUGUCCAUCUAUUGCUGCCGGGGUGUGAGGGGGAGAGCAAAGGCUAUAAAGAGAUAGGACAACUUCUCUUCACUGCGAACAUCAAGGAGCGAGUACUGUUGGGCCUCCUGUUUUGCAUCAAAUAUUCAUCACUACAUUACAUGUGGAGGGCAUUUAUACAAAACAUGUUAGUGAGCAAAACCCAGGAGAGCAUCAUUUCUGCCUUAAAUAGCAAAGGAAGUGAGGAUGAAGCUCUGUAGGCACUUUAGAUGGAGAAACAGAUCAGGCUGAGGUCCUGGCUCUUCCCUAAUGUCACAGGGGCUCUGAGAAAGGCUCAGUGCCUCAGUUUCCCACUGUAAGCCAAGAAUGUUGGAUAAAGUAGCUUUAGGAACAAGUUUAGCUCUACAUUUAUAUGAUUUGUCUGGACCCUCUUAAAAUUUCUAUCCAAAGGUACAUCCUCUGAGGAUUUAGUUGUUAGCAUAUAAAUGCCCAGGAAGAAGUCUCAGAUGGGCCUUCAAAUGUCUGAUUGACUUGUAUUAGUGAUGUGUAUUCAUUCUCUGUUGUGAAGUACAUCACUCCAAAACAACACGUGUCAUCUCCCAGUCUCCACGGGUCAGGAUGUCAGGUGUCAGAUGGGGCUGCCGUCUCACCUGCUGGCUCAGCUGGGGGAGGAUUGAUCUGCUUUCUGCUCAGGUGUGUGGUCGCGGGCAGACCUCGGUUCCUCAUGGGCUGAAGGAUGGAAGGCCUCCGCUUCUUCCUGUGGGCGUCCACAGGGAGCCCCAACAUGGCAGCUUCCUUCAUCAGAAGGGAACUGU
ensembl:lncRNA